rnacentral:rRNA from 1 species
GAUGAACGCUGGCGGCGUGCUUAACACAUGCAAGUCGAACGGAAAGGCCGAAGCUUGCUUCGGUACUCGAGUGGCGAACGGGUGAGUAACACGUGGGUGAUCUGCCCUGUACUUCGGGAUAAGCUUGGGAAACUGGGCCUAAUACCGGAUAUGACGAUCUCUUGGAUGGGGUUGUGGAAAGCUUUUGCGGUAUGGGAUGAGCUCGCGGCCUAUCAGCUUGUUGGUGGGGUAAUGGCCUACCAAGGCGUCGACGGGUAGCCGGCCUGAGAGGGUGUACGGCCACAUUGGGACUGAGAUACGGCCCAGACUCCUACGGGAGGCAGCAGUGGGGAAUAUUGCACAAUGGGCGCAAGCCUGAUGCAGCGACGCCGCGUGGGGGAUGACGGCCUUCGGGUUGUAAACUCCUUUCGCAAUCGACGAAGCCUUUUGGUGACGGUAGGUUGAGAAGAAGCACCGGCUAACUACGUG